AUUCCCGGACCCAGAGGGCAGCAAAAGCUCUCGGUCUUCGUAGACUGGGCCGGGCCGGGGAAGUGAGUCCAGGCGCUGGGGCUUCCCUAUAUUUUAUGGUCGCCGCGCUGGCUGAAUCUUCACAGUCCCAUGAACACUUCCUCUCGCUUGGACCUGGGAUCCGCGCCCAGGACCCACUUUCCUUCUAGUGCCUCGGCUGGGUGGAUGGCCGUGCGCCCUCUCCCGGCUCCCCCACCGGGUCUCCUGGAAGAAAAUGUGCAGGAAAAGGCCAGAGGACAGCUGCUUCCGGAGUCACCAAGGGGAGGCUGGAAACAGCAGACAGGACCUUAGGGGCGCUGGCCAAGAACUGCCCUGGGUAGGUGAGCUGGCCCAACCCCUCACCCGGGUCACAGAAGGACUUUCGGAUGGCGGAUGUUAUUGGAGAAGGGUGUCUGUGGAGUCCAGUUUGAAGUUCCUGGGGUAUGGAAGGGUGACCAAUGGGGUGAGGUAUAACUUAAGCCAUUGAAGGGUCAACAGGGUCAUUGGUUCACGUUGUGGAUUUAAUGAGAGUUAUCAGAAUGCUGUUUAAGUCAAGGAUGAACAAACUUUCUAAAGGGGCUUUGUUCUGUCUCUGUCCCAGCUAUUCAGCUCCUCCAUCACAAGUGUGGAAGCAGCCAUAGGCACUAUGUAAAGGAAUACAUGUGGCUGUGUUUCAAUAGAACUUUUUUUGUGGGUACUAAAAUUUUAAUUUCAGCUAAUUUUCAUGUUAUGAAAAAUUCAGUUUUUCUUCUCCGUGGUCUGCAGGCUGUGGUUUGCUUACUCUGGUUUAAGUGACUGAGAGGUCAAAGUGGAUCAGUGGGGAUGUUUCAUUUAUUGAGUUAUUGGGAAUCACUGUGGAUUCCGUGUUUAUCAGUUUCAUCUUUGAGAGUUCAAAGGUGUUCAGUGGUGAUCACUAAGGAUGUGAUCAUCAGUGAAUUCAUCAGAGGCCAAAAGGAGUUCCUUGGAUAUUCAAGAGGACUGUCCGUGGAUGUUAAUGGCAGUCACUGGGAGGUCAGGGAGACAGUGAAAGUAACUGAGAGCCCACUGAGAUUUGGAGUGUUAGUUUAAUUGAGGGAGUCAAGAGAGUCAGAGUUCACCGAGGGCUCUUAAUCAGGUCAUAAUAGUGAAUGUCAGUGGAAUCACUGAGAUUUUGUGGAGAGUCAUAGGUUGUUGGAGACUCAGAGAUGCAGGAUACACAUGUAUCUGUAAACUUAUGAGAAAAUAUAGAGGUCACUGGAGGAGUCAUAGAGACUCCUGCAUCUCUGAGUACUCAUAGAUACUAACGGCAGUCAUUCAGGACUAGUGGGUUCCAGAGUAAGUGGGGAAGUCCCUGUGGGAACAUGAAAGGUCUUUGUGGACCCUGGUGGUAGAUGCCAUUGGAGGUCAACAGUCACUGCAAGCUGAUGGCAUAUGGGGACCGAGGCAAUAUUGAGGAGUCAGUAGGUCAUCCAUAUCAUCCAUGGUAGUGACUGGGAGGCAGGGAGGCUGACCUGGAAACUGGGGUUUGGCUAGCUGAAGAUGUUCUGUCCAACUAGGAGUAUAGGGUCUAUUUGUCCAACAGGUGGGUGUAUUUGUCUGUCUACCUGGCUUGAGGGUCUAUUUAGCUGGCUUGAGGGUGUGUCUAUUCAGCUGGCUUAAGGGAUCUCUAUAUCCUGCCAAGGGCCUGGCUUUCUCACAAUCUGAGGUCUUUCUUACUGGAAGAGGUUAACCUGUCAAGCUAAAGUUCUGGCGGGCUAGCUGACUAGGUAAGUGAGGUGUCUUUCCACUGGGGUAAUGUCACUUUGUCUAGUAAGGAGGUGGUGGUCUAUCUGUCCAUAAGGGAUUCUGUCUUGGUGGGAUGCAUGGGUAGGGGGAACGUUCAUGUGUCUAGCCACAGGUCUUUCUAGAUAUCUGGCUGGGCAUCUUUCCAUUUGUCCAAGAAUAUGUCCAUUUGUCUUGCUAUCUGUCCUGCUAGGAGUCUAUUUUUCUCGCAGGACUCUGUCCAUCUAGAAGUCUGUCUCUAACUAGGGAUCUUUUUUGCCUAUCUAGCUGGGAUCUUACAGCCUGUCAACAUAAGUGGCUGAGGCUAUAGCCUACCUGUCAAGCUUCUAGCUACUCUGGAUAUUUGUCUUUCUGGCUGCAUGUCCAUCCUCACUUCAUGACCCCCAUUUGCUGUUUAACCUGCCUGCCCUCCUAACCAUCUCUCCACAUCUCUUCAAACAUUCAAACUCUACUGGCUUGCCUUCCACUCAGUUCAGCCUGGGUAUGGGGGAUGGGAAGAUCCUCAAGACCUCAUCUCACCAGCCCCUGCAUGCCCCACCUCCCUUCUCCCAGAAGCCUGCAAGCUGUUCUUGGGGACGUGGUGCUGCUGGUGGCCCUCUUGUUCACCCUACUGGCUGCAGUCCCAUGCAACAGGAACAGCUCGUAUGACCCUGCAGAUCUUGAACACCCUGAUGCCCAUAUGCCACAUGCCAAUUUGCCACCUGCUUGCCUGAAUGCUUGCUGAACUGGCCACUCAAGAGAGCCAUGUGGAAUGGGUGCUGGAAUGUAUUCAAAGAUGCUUUCACAAUGCUGUGAGGAACGCAGCCUGCCUUGAUGUUGCCAAGGAAAAAAUCCUAACUUUACAGUGGAGAAACCUAGAAGAUACCACCUUAAUCUGAGAAGCUUGUGAAGAGAUACUCUGAGACUACUGACGUCCCUACUAUACAGUUCCCUGCCUUCCUUUGGUAGGCCAAAAAAAGGCAGAAGAAAUUUGAAAAAAAAUUCUCCCACUGCUCCACUCUGUUAAGAACCUGCAGGCUGGUUGUAGGCUACUGACCUGUUGGCCCAUCCACAAAUCUGGCAUUCAGCAAAUACAAAAAAUGUUACUUUCCAGUUACAAAAGGCAGCCUGAGUCCACCUGUGAUUGGAGCUGCCUUUGGGAGGGCUUUUGUUAUAGUCUCCUAUCUCUUCACGGGUUCUGGGUUUCAGUGUUCCGAAUGGAAGAUUCCCUCCUGGCCCUUUUCUGGAAAAAAGGUCAGCAGCUCAGAGCUGGGUGAAGACAACCCAUGAAAAAAGCCACCCUACUCUUUCUUGGUCCUGCUGCCAGCCUCUACCACCCCAGCAAUUUGUGGAAGCCAGAUUCUACCAUCCUUAAGAUGUUCAUACCAACUCCUCUUCAGGCUGGCCCCACCUCUUCCAAGGUGGAGACAGGGAAUCCUCAUCACCCAGAGAAAGUUCCAGGUGGGAGCACAUGCUUUUGGAGCCAGUGGCAACCCAGCCCUGGCUCUCUGAGCUGAUACCUCAGGCUCCUAUGAAAUCCAGGCAAACGAAUAAGCUGCUAGCAUCCUGGAGUCUCUGGCCAGGCUGCCCUGUGUCCUGGCUUACAGUAUCUACACGCGACUUUAGCCCUAUAAUCGGGAAACUGAACACAAAAUAUUUAAAAUAAUGUAUUUGGAAUAUGUAAUACAUAAAAUAUAUAUUUGGAAUAAUUUU